CAGUGGCGGACGGGUGAGUAACGCGUAGGUAUCUAUCCUCGGGUGGGGGGACAACCACGGGAAACUGUGGCUAAUACCGCAUGAUGACUGAGGUCUAAAGGCGCAAGUCGCCUGAGGAGGAGCCUGCGUCCGAUUAGCUAGUUGGUGGGGUAAAGGCCUACCCAAGGCUCCGAUCGGUAGCUGGUCUGAGAGGAUGAUCAGCCACACUGGGACUGAGACACGGCCCAGACUCCUACGGGAGGCAGCAGUGGGGAAUAUUGGACAAUGGGCGCAAGCCUGAUCCAGCAAUGCCGCGUGGAUGAAGAAGGUCUUCGGAUUGUAAAGUCCUUUUGGCGGGGACGAUGAUGACGGUACCCGCAGAAUAAGCCCCGGCUAACUUCGUG
rnacentral:rRNA from 1 species